AUGAACGCUGGCGGCGUGCCUAACACAUGCAAGUCGAACGGAGAUUACGGACGGAAGUUUUCGGAUGGAAGCCUGUAAUUCUUAGUGGCGGACGGGUGAGUAACGCGUGGGCAACCUGCCCUCUACAGGGGGAUAGCAGCUGGAAACGGCUGGUAAGACCGCAUAAGUCGGUUAAAUCGCAUGAUUUGAUCGGGAAAUGAGCAAUCAGGUAUAGGAUGGGCCCGCGUCCGAUUAGCCAGUUGGCAGGGUAAAAGCCUACCAAAGCGACGAUCGGUAGCCGGACUGAGAGGUCGGACGGCCACAUUGGGACUGAGACACGGCCCAAACUCCUACGGGAGGCAGCAGUGGGGAUAUUGCACAAUGGAGGAAACUCUGAUGCAGCGACGCCGCGUGAGUGAAGAAGUAUUUCGGUAUGUAAAGCUCUAUCAGCAGGGAAGAUGAUGACGGUACCUGACUAAGAAGCCCCGGCUAACUACGUG
rnacentral:rRNA from 1 species